AGGCGCGCACCCACUCGCACCAUCCAGGUCUCAGACGAAAAGUAACAACUGACCUCAAAAGCCUCCUUCCCUCAAGGAAGACCGUGACCUGUGUGUUUCCGCCCCUUUAACACUCGCAGAGACUAACAUUGCAGACGUCGAAAGUAAACCCAGGCUCCUUGGAGGGGCGCGGGCAAGACCAUCGCUAUCUCAGCACCGAGCGCAGCGGUACCGCAAACACCCGGCCUCCCUCGGAGCGGACGCUCUCCAGCUUCCGCCACUUUAUCUUUUUUCCCAGCACGAAUUUACCUCCGCCACUUUGUGUGUCCCUUCUCCCCACGACCCCGGGCCUCCUGCAGCCCAGGUCUGGGACCUCAGGGUUCGCGGACACCUUUCCCCGUUCCGCGUCCAGCCCCGCAGAGAGGAGCGGAGCGUGGAUGAAAACAAGGUAAUUUCCCGGUGCCUUCGGGCACGGUGGAUGCAAAAGGGGCCCUGGCCGCGUCCCUGUAACCGCUGUCACCCCCACCCCGCCAGGGCUGGUCCUCCCAGCCCCCCUUCCCUGCCUCGGGCGUCGCGUCCUCCUUUGCCCCUGGCAUCUCCAUCCCGCAGUGCCUCCCACCCGCACGCCGGUCGGAGCCCUGGGCCCGGCCGCCGCCCCCAACGCGCCCCGGCAGACUCACCUUGCAGCCCCGCAGACUUUCAAGUUCUCCUACCUUCGCUGAGUGGGCUACGACAUAUCCCCAAAGGAGGCCUUCCCCGCGAGCCCAGGAGGGGCGGAGCGGAGCAGAGCAGGGCGGAGCUUGCGGCCCUGCCGGGCUCGCGCCCAACACAGGCCUCCGCCGCGCUCCCAGCGGCCGAGCAGCGGGCCAGGUUGCCAAGAGCAAAGGUGAGGUGACGGGGACCGCUGCGUGGAGAAAACGGGUGGCGCGUGGAGGCCCGCAGGGGCGCUGGCGGGAAGUGUCGCGAGAGGUGGAGGGAAUCGCGCGAGAUGUGCUCUUCCGAGCGGGCUGGCGGUCGGAGCGCUGGGCACGCGGGUGUUGCCGGCGGCGCGCCCUCCGCUUGGUACCCGCGCGCGGGGUCUGGGUGCAAGGCCUCAGGUAUUUAGAAGGCAGGGAUGAGGAAUGAGACGUUUUAGGUGGAGAGCGUUUCAAAUUGCAGUGAAAGCAAGGUUCUUCAGGAUGACCCAGCCUCCCCACUUAAUAGAUGGGAAAACAGACCUCUGACCCGGUGGUACCCUGGCUAACCCUGCUCAUGGGCCGGGAUGGUGCAGGGACGCCGGGAUGCCAUGCCCUUAGUGAAAAGUAGGACAGGCGCUGGCGGUAGUUGCGUCUACCCAGACCUCCACUUCUGGGUGCUGAGAACGGAUACCAUUGGCAUUUGCAAGGGAACAAAAGAUCGUCUCUGGGUCUUUGCCCCUCUCCUUUGCGUUUAUUGGGAUUUAGAAGCUGCCAAAAAGAUGUCUUUAAAAGAUGUAGAGGUGGGCUUGGCAGGAUUCAAAAGCCGCAAGAGGGUUGGAGAUGAGAUAUUUUUGUCCAGCAAGAUGACAUAACAGAGGUCAACAGGUUAAAAGAAUUCCCCAAGUAGUAGCCCUGCCAGCUCUCCUGUUUAGUUUUCUGGGAGACUUCAAUUCCUUCGGGCAUGCAAUAAAAUACUUCCCUAUUUUCUAACUAGAUUAUAGGGCAAGGGUUCAGGGAAUGUUUUUCAGUCUUGUUAUUUCUUCAAAAGCUGAGAAAAAGGAAACUAAAAGGGAUUUUUUAAUAACAGAUUAAUUCUCUUACAGUUUAAGAGCCACACACAAUUAUCCACAAGUUUACUUAUACCUUCUUCUCAAAUUUAUAACACCUGAAUAGCUUCUGUUCUUUGCAGAUGAAAUGGAGCAGGACCCCACGGUCCCUGCCCCUCACCCCAUGUCCUCAGCCCGCCUUUUGUCUGUGGAAAAACUUUAGCCAAAGAAUAAGUUUAAUCAGAGAAGUGAGAAAAUGCAGAAACAAAGGAAAACAGUCAAAGGAGACCAAAUAAUAGUUUAGUCAUUAAGCAUAGUCAAGGACCUUCAGUCCCUCAAGGGCUAUAGAUAAUAUUCUAAGCCGUAUCCUGUGAGCUGUCUUACAGAUACUGAAAUCCCCACCAGGUGGAAGAAGUUAACUACAUGAUGACCAGACUGUAGCCAUGACAUAAGCUGCCACAAUUCCAAGAACUGGCCUCAAAGAAAUGGAAACCCUGGAACUAAAGAUUAACUGUUCUUAAAACAACCAAGAUGACGCUGACCAGACCACCGCAUUACUGGUUUCACGAUGACUGUCCGAACUGACUGUGCUGUUCUGCUCCUGCCUAUGCAACCCUGAAACUCCCCUUUAAAAGCCCCUGUCCCCUGAGAGCAGUCGGGAGUUGGUUCUUGGACAGGAGUCCACCCCCUCCCCCAGUUGCCAGCCUCCAAAAUAAAGCAACCUUUCCCUUCCUACCAACACUCAUCUCUCGAGAAUUGGCUUUCCAGCGGCAAGCAGCCGGACCUGGGUUCGGUAACACAGAGAGGAUGAAGAAAGCCAGGACUGUGCCCCAGCCUCUAGGAUCCUGUCAGAUGACUAGCUAAUAUAACUAAUACCAGUAGCUAGCUUUUAACUCUAUGUUGUAGGUAACAACUGUAAGCAUUUGACAAGUAUAAUCCCAUUUAAUUCUCACAGCAACCUGGUGAAGUAGGUUAUCCCUAUUUGCAGAGGUAGAAUGACUCACAUACUACCAGCAAGUGAUGGAGCCAAUGUAAACACAAGAGCACAGGCUCCGGACGCGCAGGCUCAGCGGCCAUGGCUCACUGGGCCCAGCCGCUCCGCGGCAUGUGGGAUCUUCCCGGACCAGGGCACGAACCCGUAUCCCCUGCAUCGGCAUGUGGACUCUCAACCACUGCGCCACCAGGGAAGCCCAAGAAGGAAUCUUUUAAUGGCCUUUUCAGAUAAUUGUGGAGUAUUCUUUUUACUACUACAAUAAAAUUCAACAAAUGGUCCUGAAAACGCUUCAGAGAAAGUGACUUUUGGAUCCCACCGAAGGAGGGUGGCUGCUUGCCAGGAGAGCCAACCAUGUGGUUAGAGGGUGGGACCUUUCAGUCCCAACGCCCAACCUCUAGGGAGGGCAAAGCGGCUGGAGAUUGAAUCCGUUGCCGACGGCCCAGUGACUGAGUCAUGCCUUUGUAAUGAAGCCUCACUAAAAAUCCAAAGGACAAGGUUCAGAGAGCUUCCAGGUUGGGGAACAUGUGAGGAUUGGGGAGAGUGGUGCACCUGGAGAGGGAACGGAAGGUCUGCACCCCCCCCAGGCCAUGCCCUAUGUAUCUCUAUCAUUCAUCUGGCUGUGGUUUUAUAUCCUUUUGUAAUAAACAGGUAAUCUAGUAAAUAAAUGGGUUUUCCUCAGUUCUGUGAGCCGUGCUAGCAAGUUAACUGAAGCCAAGGAGGAAGUCAUGGGAACAUCUGGCCUAUAAGAAUUGCUUGUUGGUGUGUGGAGGCCUCUACACACACACUGGAAUUGGGUCCAGGAACGCUUUUCCCCAGUGUACUUCAGCCCGCAGAAUUGCUUCCU